ACUGAACCGUUCACGUUAUAUUUUUACACGAUCUACGAUCGAGAAUUGAAUGACGGUUCGGGCGGACAGAUCGAUUGUGGAACACGAAAUGUGAGCAAGUAGGAUCCAAGAUGGGAUCCGAGCAGAGCUCACAGGGUGGCAAUCAGAAUGCCAAUAGUGGGAGAGCAAGGACAGGUCAGCUGAGACGAGGCAAGAGUGUACCAAAUCGUGAACGGGUACCUGAAGAUACCCCACCAAGAUGCACCAGCCCUGGUGCAAGCAUCUGUUCCGACUCUGAUCUACCAUACAUCUCCUAUACAGUCAACCGACCUAUUGGAGAUUCUCCAAAGAUGACAAAUAAGCAAUCGUCACAGCUCUAUCGUGGCAAGAGUCUUGGUGCAGCAGAGAUCUCUAGACGGAAAAACAGUUUGGGUGGCAUAAGUCACGGCCAUAGACAGAAGAGUAUGUUGCAGCAGGAUAAAACUCAGCAUAAUAUUGUUGUGGUGAAGGCAGCUCAGGCGGACCCAACAGCUGAUAAAGACCCAGACUUGGUACGAUUACAGAGUAUACCAAUGUUCCUACCAAUCAUGCGCGGCACGCUGAACUUACCGCCGGGUGUGCGCGACCCAGAGGUACUCGAACGUCUCGAUCCCGUCGGCCUGUUCAAUUUGUGCGCGCGUUAUCAACAUCACUUGAACACCAAUGCGCAAACUGUGGCUGCCGAACAGGCUGCUCUGUGCGCUAGCAUGGAGACUGACCUUGCCAAGAUGUUGAAUCAAGCAGUAGAGCGGCAAAAGAGGUUUGCCAGGUUCGCUGAACAGCUGAACAAGGUGCACGAACUUAGUCGUCAGCUCACAAGGUGUCACUCGCAACUCAACCAGACUCUUGAGAGCCUCGAGACGCUCAACAAUCUGCUGCCAGUGGAGGAGAGACUGGAGCCUUUCGUCUGGACCACGGGUUAGGGAAGAAAGAAUCGGAGCGCGAGGAACUUCCUUAAAUGCAUGGAAUUUUUCCUUCGUGUUGUAUGUGACGAUCGAACAACCGUUGAUCCGAGACACCCCGUGUGUAAAGACGAGUGGUGGGAUAUUUGAUGGCUCGAAUUCGGAGAAGCGACUUCUGCCUCAGUUUGCUCGCAUCCGAGCUGGCGCGAGGUUGUGUUGUGUGCUUUCGCUGCAAGUUGCUCCCUUGAAAAGCAUCCCUUUCACCUUCAACCCUCUAUCUGCCGGUCACCGUGUGUUCUUUUCUUCGCGCUGUGGAAAUUACACACACUGGUGUUUCUCGCAAGAAAACAUCCCUCAAGAAACGUGCACAGUGAGACAGUGUUAAGUGAGAGAAGUGAUUUUCGUGGCUGAAUCUAUUUUCGAGGCGAAUCUCGAGGAUUUUCGUGGAUGGGUGA
rnacentral:misc_RNA from 1 species